rnacentral:rRNA from 1 species
CGGCGGGCGGGGCGGGGGCAGGGGGGGAACGCGAAGAACCUUACCUGGCCUUGAAAUAGUAAGAACUUUCCAAAGAUGGAUUGGUGCCUUCGGGAACUUACAUACCGGUGCUGCAUGGCUGUCGUCAGCUCGUGUCGUGAGAUGUUGGGUUAAGUCCCGCAACGAGCGCAACCCUUUUCCUUAUUUGCCAGCGAGUAAUGUCGGGAACUUUAAGGAUACUGCCAGUGACAAACUGGAGGAAGGCGGGGACGACGUCAAGUCAUCAUGGCCCUUACGGCCAGGGCUACACACGUGCUACAAUGGUCGGUACAAAGGGUUGCUACACAGCGAUGUGAUGCUAAUCUCAAAAAGCCGAUCGUAGUCCGGAUUGGAGUCUGCAGACUCGACUCCCUGAAGUCGGAAUCGCUCGUAAUCGCGGAUCAGAAUGGCGCGGUGAAUACCUUCCCGGGCCUUGUACACACCGCCCGUAGA